UUAAUAAACCAAGAAAGGUGUUAUGUCUUGAAAACAUAAAAAAGAUUAAUAAA
rnacentral:tRNA from 1 species